rnacentral:rRNA from 1 species
CUCGUAGACUCCUACGGGAGGCAGCAGUGGGGAAUAUUGCACAAUGGGGGAAACCCUGAUGCAGCCAUGCCGCGUGUGUGAAGAAGGCCUUCGGGUUGUAAAGCACUUUCAGUAGGGAGGAAGGUAGUGUAGUUAAUAGCGGCAUCAUUUGACGUUAGCAACAGAAGAAGCACCGGCUAACUCCGUGCCAGCAGCCGCGGUAAUACGGAGGGUGCGAGCGUUAAUCGGAAUUACUGGGCGUAAAGCGCAUGCAGGCGGCCUGUUAAGUCAGAUGUGAAAGCCCCGGGGCUUAACCUCGGAACUGCAUUUGAAACUGGCAGACUAGAGUACUGUAGAGGGGGUAGAAUUUCAGGUGUAGCGGUGAAAUGCGUAGAGAUCUGAAGGAAUACCGGUGGCGAAGGCGGCCCCCUGGACAGAUACUGACACUCAGAUGCGAAAGCGUGGGGAGCAAACAGGAUUAGAUACCCUGGUAG